GUAGUCAUAUGCUUGUCUCAAAGAUUAAGCCAUGCAUGUCUAAGUAUAAGCAUCUAUACUGUGAAACUGCGAAUGGCUCAUUAAAUCAGUUAUCGUUUAUUUGAUAGUACCUUACUACAUGGAUACCUGUGGUAAUUCUAGAGCUAAUACAUGCUAAAAACCCCGACUUCGGGAGGGGUGUAUUUAUUAGAUAAAAAACCAAUGCCCCUCGGGGCUCCUUGGUGAAUCAUAAUAACUUAACGAAUCGCAUGGCCUUGCGCCGGCGAUGGUUCAUUCAAAUUUCUGCCCUAUCAACUUUCGAUGGUAGGAUAGUGGCCUACCAUGGUGGCAACGGGUAACGGGGAAUUAGGGUUCGAUUCCGGAGAGGGAGCCUGAGAAACGGCUACCACAUCCAAGGAAGGCAGCAGGCGCGCAAAUUACCCAAUCCCGACACGGGGAGGUAGUGACAAUAAAUACUGAUACGGGGCUCUUUUGGGUCUCGUAAUUGGAAUGAGUACAAUCUAAAUCCCUUAACGAGGAACAAUUGGAGGGCAAGUCUGGUGCCAGCAGCC
rnacentral:rRNA from 1 species